rnacentral:rRNA from 1 species
GUAGGUGGCAAGCGUUGUCCGGAAUUAUUGGGCGUAAAGCGCGCGCAGGGCGGUCCUUUAAGUCUGAUGUGAAAGCCCACGGCUCAACCGUGGAGGGUCAUUGGAAACUGGGGGACUUGAGUACAGAAGAGGAAAGCGGAAUUCCAAGUGUAGCGGUGAAAUGCGUAGAGAUUUGGAGGAACACCAGUGGCGAAGGCGGCUUUCUGGUCUGUAACUGACGCUGAGGCGCGAAAGCGUGGGGAGCAAACAGGAUUAGAUACCCUGGUAGUCCACGCCGUAAACGAUGAGUGCUAAGUGUUAGGGGGUUUCCGCCCCUUAGUGCUGCAGCCAACGCAUUAAGCACUCCGCCUGGGGAGUACGGCCGCAAAGGCUG